AGAGUUUGAUCCUGGCUCAGGAUGAACGCUAGCGGCAGGCUUAACACAUGCAAGUCGAGGGGCAGCAGGCCGGUUCUUCGGAACUGGUGCUGGCGACCGGCGCACGGGUGCGUAACGCGUAUGCAACCUACCUUGUACAGGAGGAUAGCCCGGAGAAAUCCGGAUUAAUACUCCAUAGUAUCACAAUUUUGCAUGAGAUUGUGAUUAAAGCUACGGCGGUACAAGAUGGGCAUGCGUGUCAUUAGCUAGUUGGUGAGGUAACGGCUCACCAAGGCCAUGGUGACUAGGGGUCCUGAGAGGGAGGUCCCCCACACUGGAACUGAGACACGGUCCAGACUCCUACGGGAGGCAGCAGUGAGGAAUAUUGGACAAUGGGCGCAAGCCUGAUCCAGCCAUGCCGCGUGCAGGAAGACGGCCUUAUGGGUUGUAAACUGCUUUUGCAAGGGAAGAAUGACCGCUUCGAGUAAGCGGGAGUGACGGUACCUUGCGAAUAAGCACCGGCUAACUCCGUGCCAGCAGCCGCGGUAAUACGGAGGGUGCAAGCGUUAUCCGGAAUUAUUGNGUUUAAAGGGUCCGUAGGCGGCUAGAUAAGUCAGUGGUGAAAUACUCUCGCUCAACGAGAGGGGUGCCAUUGAUACUGUUUGGCUAGAGUUACAGUGAGGUG
rnacentral:rRNA from 1 species